UUAUCUAUUAAUAAUUUUCUCAAUUUGAUUUAUUUUUAUGAGGUUUUCGCUAGUAAAGAAAAAAUGUAGAAUUGUAAAUCGAAUUAUUGACAAUAUUUUACGAUUUGAAUCGCGAUUUUAAUGGAAGAAAACGAACCACCUAACCGUCUGACAAGCCAUGUUUGGUUUGUAGGUAUUGUUAAUUACAGGAAAGAAACUAAGCGAAAAUUCCCGAGUGCCCAAUCGCUUCUGCAAAACUGCAACCGGCGAUGGCGACGGCAACCUGGUACUGCACAAGUUUAGCUUGUUUUUUUAGAGUUUCUUUUUUCCCCUAUGCUGCUGAAGAUUGAACACAAAAACAUUUACACGUGAUGUAGUAUUCGUAAAAGUUGUUUGAGGCGUAUUUGGGUGUCCGAGAGAAGGCAUCCCCAUCCCGAAAGCAAGGGUUGGCUCACUUGGUACGAAUCUUAACCAAGUGAGGUUGUCCGUAGAUCAUAACAACUUAUUGGAGAUCAGAGUGAAUUGUUGCGUUUUUUGGAGCAAGUUUUCCAUUUUUUCAACUAAUUAUUGUGAAACGGUGUCAUCUAAGACAGCCUCAAACAAAUUGGGUGGUUCAAGAUGCUAUGAUCGAAACUAGAGGCUGACAUAUUUUUCAUCUUCUUCACGCAAAAGAGUGUUUGUUACUGGUGUUGGUAGAAUGGUAGCCAAAGUGUAUGAAACAAGUUCAAAUGCGAGUCAAAGUUGGAUGUACGCUAAAUGCAGUAUGAGAUAUGGUUAGGCAUAAAUUCUAGUAUAUCCUCAAUGAGCAAUCCUUUCAUUAA